GGCCACGUGGCGGAAUUGGUAGACGCGCCACUUUGAGGGGGUGGUGUCCUUACGGAUGUGCUGGUUCGACUCCAGUCGUGGUCA
rnacentral:tRNA from 1 species